AGAAUUACAAAUUAGGAGAAAGGGUAAACAUGAAUUUGAGGAAAAUAUGAAAUUCCUUUUGGAAUUUUCGGAGCUGAUCAAAGGUGGUCCGGAUGUCUCGUUCAGAUGUGCUUUCUCUCUACAGGAGGGUCCUGCGCAUCGCACGCAGCUGGAAAGCGCAGUCUGCUCUUCCACAUGACACUGACACUGAGAGGAAAUAUAUCGCUCAGGAGGCUCGAACCCUUUUCAGACAGAACCAGCAGGUAACAGAGCCAGAAUCAAUCAAGCGAUGCAUUGAAGAGUGUGAAGCUCGGAUAGAGAUAGGUGUGCAUCUUUGAUCAAAUAGUUACU